CCGAUUUGAAAAAAAAACAAUGUGAUAAUCGAUCAAUCAUAAAAGCUAGGAAAUACAGGAAGAACUCUUGGAAUUACCGAUUAAAAGCAAAUCAAAUCACGGCACUUGGUUGGGAUUACCAGUUUAUGAUGAUUCGAAUUGGCUUCGAUUAUCUCAUCCAACAGGGAAGUACCAUUAUAAUAAUAAGCUGUUGCAUACAUGUAUCUACAAGAUUGCGCAAUCGUUGCCACACAUAGCCGCUAACCGAUUGGUAUCAAUGGCAAAAUAUCUCGAGGACAAAAAGCACGAGGAACAAAUAGGAUCGAUGGUUGAAUUACACUGAUGAAAUGAAGAGGGAAGAUCGUACAAGAAGAUAAAAUUACGAGGACGAAUAAAAGAGUGGAAGAAUCGUAUAGUGAGGCGGACCCAAAAUGACUGGCAGAAGCGUCUGAAUGGGCUCUGGUUGUUCGUACUUGGCCGAUUCAUAGCAUUCCACCAAAGUGGUGCUCACGGUGACGAGCAAAAGAGCAAUUUCCCAUUGUGAAAAUCUGCGUAAUACCACUGCUUCCCUGAGCACGGGAGAUUCUCCUAACCUUUUAUCUCUCUUUCUCUCUUUUUGUAUUAUAUCUGGUUUAAUUACACUUGUCAUUUUGCGAGUGUGGUGUCUCAUUACGAAGAAAGUUCGAGAUUUAACUCGACGGCUUGCGAACCUAGGUGGCCUCUUUCUCUAACGGCACUAACCAGACAGCCAACAACAACGACGACGAAGGAACGAACGAACGAACGAACCGACGAAGGAACGAACGAACCAACGAACCAACGAACGAACGAACGAACCAACCAACCAACCAACCAACCAACCAACCGACCGACCGACCGACCAACCAGUCAUGAGCCCCCUUUUACCUUACGUAUAGCCCUCCGCGUGCCUCUCUUCGCAUCGCCGCUCUAGAUCUUCGGAUAAGAGCGAACACCAUUUUAGCGGUUCCUUACACACCAGACAUCCGUUCCCUUCCUAUAUAUACGUGGCUACGGGAGAACUCGCUGCAUUUUCUCCGCGCGAAUGUGUCAAGCGACUGAGAAACAGACAGAGAUAGAGAAGGCGGAUCGUGGAAGGUUGGUGGGCGGAGGGAAGGGAGAGAUGGCGGGCAGAAAAGGACAAAGAGAUCGGAGGGAACUGGUAAGGGAGAGAGGGAUCGAAGUGUACGAUAAAGUGAGAGAAAGAAGUGAAAUCGGAGAGAGAGAGAGAGAGAGAAAGAAAGAGAUGUAUAGAUAUAUAGCGGGAGUGAGAAAGAAAAGAAGAGAUGGGCAUGUCAGUCGAAACCUUCUAAUCCCACAUACAGGUGCUUAAUUCGUUACGUGAGACCGGAGGAAACAGAAAACGGGAUACUGUACCGUUUUCUGUGAUAACGAAUAAGGGUUUCGUCCGUUCUUCUCUUCCUCAACCCCUCUAUGCUCGUUAAUUAAACGUUGUGUUAAGUACAUUCGCCAUAAAACGACAACGUUCAAGAUAUGCGAAAUAGAUUCACCAUGAAAGAUAAAAAAGAUGGGACAUCGCGUAGCGAAGAUUUCGAUAUCUUGGUUCGCGUUAGAUCAGCUUUUUGCGAUUAAGGUUCAAUCGAACUCGGAGCUUUGAUAAUUUUCUGUUUAAGUGGAUAUCAGACGAGGACGUGGGGAACAGGUCACAUCCGGGUUAACGUAAUUACAAAUUAAUUUCGUUUUAUUAAGUAGCUCCCGGCCGAAGAACGCACGUAUGGCUUAUCUCCGAGACUACUUGGAGAAGCACCGUAUUCGGGUUAAUUCUGCAUUUAAUUGGUGGCUUAACCGUAUAUCCACGGUUUAUUCGGACUAUCGUGAGAAAAAAGAUAUUAAUUUUUCACGAGUAACUAGAAUUCCCGCAAGAAUUUGCACUUUAUGGAAACACGGGCAGAUGAAGAUAACGAUAAUUGCGUAGUGUGGCGGCCGCGGAAAAGAUUAUUCGAAAUGGUUCAACACGGUGAAAUAUGGUAUAUGUUGGAUCGUUGCCUUCGAAUACUUCAGUGACCCACAGGUGUGUACGGGUGGAACUGCCUUCGAGUAACUGUACCAAAACCUAUGAAUUUUUACGGCUAAAUUAUAUUCCAAUUAUAGAAGAUAUUUUUUCCCAUAAUUCUUUUUUUAUUAAUUAUCCCUGAUUAAUAUGAUUAUACAAUACUGUAAAAAUUUUAAUGAUGAUAACCUUCUGUCAGAGAUUGUAACUAUUAAAAUUUAGAUGAUUUGUCAUUUUUUAAAAUAGAAAGUAAUGUAGCAUAAUCUAAUUUUUUUUAAAAUACUUUCUAUAAGAUAGUUUUCUAAUGAUAUAUUUCGAUAUUAUUUAUAUUAAAACAAUAAUAUCAAUUAAAUAUACUUACAUUUCAAUUAGAGCGUAGUUUAAUUCAGUUACAAAAAAAAAAAUGUUUUCUAAAUAUCUAGAACAAUAUUCGAAUCCACAGAAUCCUUAAAAAAUCCUUUAAAAAAAUCAUUUUUUUGUAAUUAUUAUAUUGUUAUUAUUAUAAAUUCUUAUAUGCUUAGAAAAACCAAUCACAAUUUGCGUAUAUAUUUACAAAUCCCUACAUCGGUUAGUUGAUCGCACAUAAAAUCUAGCUUUGCUGAUAAGAGAUCCCCGUUUACGUGUGCGUCUUCUCUCUCGUGCAUACACGCAAGAUUUCCUCGUCGUGUAUCGCAUAUCUCUUUAUCCUUGUUCCAUAUCUUUCCCUCUCUCUUUCUCUCUCGUACUCACGUCUAAACGUGUAUACGCGCACGCAGAUGCCGCGUGUCGAUGUGGGUAGGGUUAUUAGCCCAGAAAGCAAGGCCCCUGCUUCCGGUGUAGGCACUUUAGUUCGAGAGUUUCUUAACCCCUUCUUACACGACUUCUUGCUGGCCUGCCCUGGCCUAAGACUCUGCCCCGACUUGGCCUGUUGUCGGUUGCGGGUGGUAGAAUUUCUCGUCGAGAACGAACUCCUGGGUCUACGAUGAAACACUCUCUUAUACUUGCAUUUGUGUGCACGAUAUGAACGGAUCGUAGGGUAGGUAGAUAUACUAGGUUAGGUCGGCACGGUGGCGAACCGAACAAUUUUUCCCGCGGUCUAAGGUGGACCCGACAUCGAACGAUCGUAAAUUUCGCGAAACAGAGGGCGCACGACUCUGACUCGCGAUCUUGCUUAUCGUAAGCUACCAUGAUACUGAUGCAGAUUUUACCGUGUUGUUUUGGGAUAGUCUGUUAAUAUACAGGAUGAAAGAGAAAAAAAUUUUAAAUUUGAAAUUUUAUAUUAAAGUGCAAAAUAGAAAGAAGAAAAAGUAAAUAUUAAUAAACAAAUCAUUUGUCGUAUAAUGUAAUCAAAAGAAUUACAGGUAAGUGUUUUUGGUUAAUAAAUAAUUUAGGAACGAAAAGAUUAAAAAUAACGAUUUCAGUUUCGUAUUUUAUCAUUAUUUUUUGAUAUUUUUCAAGAAGAUUCAAUUAUUUUGAUAAUUUCUAAAUAUUAUUAUUAUGAUAUGCUAAAAAAAAAAGAAAAUAUUUUUUACUUUGAAAUACAACUUUCUUACCUAAAGUAAUGUUAGUCUAAUGUUCGAAGUAGAAUUGUUGCUUGUUGAAUUCAUAGCCAUUCGUUUAAUGACAAUUUUAUUGCGCGAAAAAUGAUUAAUGGCACGUUAUUUGCUCGCUGAGGGAAAUACUCGGUGAUAGGUUAAUGGACGUAAAAAAUGAACAGGCUGGCGUAAAGCGGCAGAGAGAUACGAGCCUCGACGAUGAUAGAUAUGGUUUAACCAGUCGUAAUUGUUUUGCGUUCGCUCUUAAUUGGGGCUACUUGUUCGUUACGUUUCUUCCGAAUGGGUAAGAAGCUAUGAAGUUUUAAUAAAUGUCUUGAUCGAGCUGUUAACAUGUUCUGUGGAGAAACGGAUAAAAAAAAAUCUUCUAUUCGUUAUUCAGUUUGUAUCGUCAUUAAUAAUAAACACAAAAAACGAAGAAUAAUAGAAUCAUAACUUGAAUUCACAAAUCGAUCGUAAAAUGGAGGUUAUUUUUUAUCUCUCUUUCUCGAUUCCUUGUUUCAUUUCAACGAUACAUUGCAGUUUUAUUAUUGAUUCAAAUGAACAAGACGAUUCAAGACCAUUGGAUAGCCAGGCUUUCCACGUCCUGUGUUUAAACCUUCCGAGUGAUUUCUAGGUCAGAUAACAAUUAGAAUAACUCGAUUGAAUUGGUAUACCGAUCAGUGAGACGGCAAAGGUGGUCGGCUCGCUUUCGAAAGUGAUGACCCCAGGGAGCGGUAAAGAUGCGUGCAGGUGCUUCCUCUUUGCAUUUUAUACCUAGAACAACACUAAUGCGAUGAAGAUUAGCUUACUUAAGUUCCCAUGAACUAUUUUUGAGCUUAAUCGUUUGCACUGAUCUCCUGUUAUACGUUGUAUACGUACGCCAGCUAGGUUGUAAUAGAUAAUUACUCCUGCGACCAGGUAGGGGGAUAGACGUUCCUGGAUCGCUAAUGAGCUUCUGGAAUAUUAUCGAUGCUCACGGUAAUGCUUAUAACUGCUUUUCAACUGAGAUUGUAAAUUUUCCGUUGUUCACUGAUUUCUGAGGGAAAGAUGCACGCCGAUUAUGCAUCGGUGGAAUAUAAUAGUGUUUUAAAGAUACCCUGUUGCUUCUGUCUGAACGAGAAAUUACCAAUAGAUUUGCCAGAACGAAGACGGACAUAUAUACACUCAGAAAUGCAAAGAUAUUCAAAUAAUUGCCUCUUACAAAAUAGAAAUGAAUAUCGUAUAAUUCUUAGAAGAAAAAUAAACUGUAUAAUAGAUCAUGAUUAAAGCGCAAGCAUUAGAUUUGUACAUAAGUAUUCGAUCUUGCGUAAUAAAAAAACAUUGAACUGUGAUCCUUUGACGAACUCGAAAAAAUUACAUGGCGAAAACUAUUGCAACGUCGGAAGUGGCAAUGCUCGGGAAGCGUACGGUUCUCAAAGGGUUAAUUGGGCAUAGUAAUUCUUCAGGUGACCAAGCUCCAUGGGAGUGGAACGGAGAAAACCCAGUUUUAUGCUUCGCAUUAAGCGGUUAUAUCUAUAUCUUUAUGUUGUAUCUACUAAUUUAUAAAUAUGUAAUUGGCCAACUACGACCCUUCGCUAUAGUAUUACCUUAAAUGUUUUUUUUUUACAGAUAAGUUAUCUAUAAAACAUGUUAACAUUUUUAUGCAAUGAGGAGGAGGGAAUAUCAUUGUCGCGAAAACGAAGUAAAUAUUAUGUAAUAUUGGAUGAGUGACAGCAGCUUAAUUGUUAUUACACCUGUAAAUAUAAUUAUAUUUUUCGUUAAAAUUCCAUUAUCUUGUCAUCAACUAAUUAACUUCUACAUUGAUAUCGAAAUAAUCGAGUAAUUUUUUUUACAAUCCUACAAUAGUUGAUUUUUUCAAUUAAUUUUGGGAUAAGUAUCUUUUCUAUGAUGAUAUAUUAAAAUUUGGAAUUCAUAAACAGAUUUUAAAUACGAAUGAAAAUUUUUAAACAUUUUAAUCAUUAUUUCAAUUGUUAUUAAAAAGACUUAUAUUACAACUAACAUUUAUUACAAAAUCAAAUCAAAUCUGAUGUAAUUAAUGAAAACAUAUAAAUACAAAUGAUACAGAUAUUUA